rnacentral:rRNA from 1 species
UACGGAGGGAGCUAGCGUUGUUCGGAAUUACUGGGCGUAAAGCGCACGUAGGCGGCUUUGUAAGUUAGAGGUGAAAGCCCGGGGCUCAACUCCGGAACUGCCUUUAAGACUGCAUCGCUUGAAUCCAGGAGAGGUGAGUGGAAUUCCGAGUGUAGAGGUGAAAUUCGUAGAUAUUCGGAAGAACACCAGUGGCGAAGGCGACUUACUGGACACAUAUUGACGCUGAGGUGCGAAAGCGUGGGGAGCAAACAGG